GAUGAACGCUGGCGGCGUGCCUAAUACAUGCGAGUCGAGCGAACAGACGAGGAGCUUGCUCCUCUGACGUUAGCGGCGGACGGGUGAGUAACACGUGGAUAACCUACCUAUAAGACUGGGAUAACUUCGGGAAACCGGAGCUAAUACCGGAUAAUAUAUUGAACCGCAUGGUUCAAUAGUGAAAGACGGUUUUGCUGUCACGUAUAGAUGGAUCCGCGCCGCAUUAGCUAGUUGGUAAGGUAACGGCUUACCAAGGCAACGAUGCGUAGCCGACCUGAGAGGGUGAUCGGCCACACUGGAACUGAGACACGGUCCAGACUCCUACGGGAGGCAGCAGUAGGGAAUCUUCCGCAAUGGGCGAAAGCCUGACGGAGCAACGCCGCGUGAGUGAUGAAGGUCUUCGGAUCGUAAAACUCUGUUAUUAGGGAAGAACAAAUGUGUAAGUAACUAUGCACGUCUUGACGGUACCUAAUCAGAAAGCCACGGCUAACUACGUG
rnacentral:rRNA from 1 species